rnacentral:rRNA from 1 species
GGGCGACUGAACCGGGAAGAGCCCAGCGCAUAACCUCGCGUCCUCCCCGGCGCGAGGGGUGUUGCGUUUCGGAGGGUCCGGCACGCCGCGCCAUACCGCCUAAGUCAAGCUUGAAAGCGGCCACUACCCGUGGAGGGUGACAGGCCCGUGUGGCGGCGCCCGCGAGGGUAAGGAUGGCGCGGUCGGAAAGGGCCUCUCCGUAGAGUCGGGUUGCUUAAUAAUGCAGCCCAAAGCAGGUGGUAAACUCCAUCUAAGGCUAAAUAUGACCACGAGACCGAUAGCGAACAAGUACCGUGAGGGAAAGUUGAAAAGAACUUUGAAGAGAGAGUUCAAGAGUACGUGAAACCGUUAAGAGCCAAACGGAUGGACCCUCGAAGGUCGAACUUGGGGAUUCAGCUCGUCGGCCGUCGGCUGGGCGCGGGUGUUCGUUAACUCGUAGCGACCCGAGAGAGCUCGGGCGCGCUCGCCUCCACGCCGGCGCCGGCGGGCGUAUUUCCCCUCGUAGUAGGGCGCCGCGACCCGUCGCUGGGGACGUCGAAGGCUCUGGCGGAUUGGUACCCCACCUCCAACCGGAGCGUUAGCGCGUUCCGGCGGGGUGGGCGAAACCGCCGGUGACCCUGGCUGCCCUGCGACGGUCGUAGAGACGAGCCCUCCCCCUCGCGGGCGGGCUCUCGCGGCGUGCAAAAAGAUCGGUGCUCCAUCCGACCCGUCUUGAAACACGGACCAAGGAGUCUAACAUGUGUGCGAGUCAGUGGGCGCACUAAACCCAAGGGCGCAAUGAAAGUGACAGGUCCGGCGUGCGCGUCGUUCUGCGGCGCGGGCGCCGGAACCGGGGCCGAUCCCCCGCCGGCUGCCUCCGGCCGUCCCCCUGCGCCUCGGCACGCCCAGGUGAGCCAUUUUCCCUGGCCUCUGCCGGGGCGCUGUCCGCGGGGGCGCCGGAGCGCGAAGGCGCGUGAGACAUGAUCAUCCUGUUCGCAGGGGGGCGCAGGCCCGGGACUUGCCAAGACGCCGGCAGGCUCCGCGAAGCUUCGGGCGAGCGGGUUAUCACGCGUGCAGUCCGCAAGUACCACCACCAGACAUGUUGGGACCCGAAAGAUGGUGGACUAUGCCUGGCCAGGAUGAAGCCAGAGGAAACUCUGGUGGAGGUCCGUAGCGAUUUUGACGUGCAAAUCGAUCGUCUGAGCUGGGUAUAGGGGGGAAAGACUAAUCGAACCAUCUAGUAGCUGGUUCCCUCCGAAGUUUCCCUCAGGAUAGCUGGAACUCGCAGGAUGAAUUUCAUCCGGGAAAGCGAAUGAUUAGAGGUCUUGGGGACGAAACGUCCUCAACCUAUUCUCAAACUUUAAAUGGGUGAGAUGCCGAGCUUGCUUGAACGCUGAAGCUUCGGCGAUUAAUCUGAGUGUCUAGUGGGCCAUUUUUGGUAAGCAGAACUGGCGCUGUGGGAUGAACCAAACGUCGAGUUAAGGGGCCUAAAUGAAUGCUCAUUCAGAUCCCAUCGAAAGGCGUUGGUUGCUAUAGACAGCAGGACGGUGGCCAUGGAAGUUGGAAUCCGCUAAGGAGUGUGUAACAACUCACCUGCCGAAGCAACUAGCCCUUAAAAUGGUAUGGCGCUCAAGCAUUCUCCCGAUACUCGACCGCCGGGGCACUAGCGGCCACGUCCUUGGAGGCGAGGUCUCGAAGCCCCGGUGAGUAGGAGGGUCGCAGUGGUGAGCGCUGAAGGGAUCCGGCGUGAGCCGGCCUGGAGCCGCCACUGGUGCAGAUACUUGGUGGUAGUAGCAAAUACUCGAGAGAGACUCCCUUGAAGACCGAUGUGGAGAAGGGUUCCAUGUGAACAUCAGUUGGACAUGGGUUAGUCGCUCCUAAGCCCAAGGCUAAGGCCUGAUCCCACGCUAGCGGCAACGGCCAACGGUUUUAAGAGAGAAGGAAGGUGUAAUGGGGGUGAGUAGGAAGGAGAAGAAGAAGAAGAAUAAUAAUAAUCAUCAUCAGCAGCAGCAGCAGCAGACGGCCGACGCUGUCGUCGUCGCCGCCGCCGCCGCCGCCGCCUCCACCACCUCCUGCACCUCCUGCUCCUGCUCCUGCUCCUCCUCCUCCUCCUCCUCCUCCUCCUCUUCUUCUUCUCGUCACACAGACGAGAGAGAGAGAGAGAGAGAGAGAGAGAGAGAGAGAGCGAGCGAGCGAGCGAGAAAAAACAGAGAUCUCUGUGGUGUUGCCCGGGAUUAGUGGCGAAAGGGAAUACGGUACUUAUUCCGUAACCAGGACUCGGAUACCAAGCAGGCGCAAGCGCCCGCAACGGAAUGCUGCCCUGUGGAGGACCCCGGUAACGGGAACCAGCUCGCGUCCGCCGGCGGUGGUCCGGGAAAGAGUUUUCUUUUCUGUUUAAGGCGCCGUGACCCUGGAAGCCAUUCGCAGAGA